GUACACGCUGUGACUAGCAUAUCAAUAAGCGGAGGAAAAGAAACUAACAAGGAUUCCCCUAGUAACGGCGAGUGAAGCGGGAAGAGCUCAAAUUUGAAAUCUUAAAGGGUUUCCCUUUACGAAUUGUAGUUUAAAGAAGUGUUUUCUGUUGAGGUUUUGGUAAAAGUUCUUUGGAAUAGGACAUCAUAGAGGGUGAGAAUCCCGUAUUUGACCUUUACUUUCAACUUUGUGAUACACUUUCAAAGAGUCGGAUUGUUUGGGAAUGCAGUCCAAAAUGGGUGGUAAAUUUCAUCUAAAGCUAAAUAUUGGCGAGAGACCGAUAGCGAACAAGUACCGUGAGGGAAAGAUGAAAAGAACUUUGAAAAGAGAGUUAAACAGUACGUGAAAUUGUCAAAAGGGAAGCGUUUGACACCAGUGUUGUUUUUCUGAAAAUCAAUUAAAGAACUGUUUAUGCUAAGUUGUUUAGACUUUAUCAGCUAACUGUUUAGUUUUGAGCUUUUCUUUAAUGCACUUUUCAGUUAACAAGUCAACAUCAAUUUCUUUUGCUGUAAAAAAGCUUGAGGAAGGUGGCUUGAGAUUCGUCUUAAGUGUUUAUAGCCUCUUGCCUAUGCAGUCGGAGAGAUUGAGGUCUGCAGCGUAGAUCCUUCGGGGCUAAAUGCAUUUGUGCUAAGUUAUAAGCAUUUUAUAGACAACUUGUUGACUAUGAUUUGUCUUGUAGCUUACUCGCUUAUGUUAUUUUACCUACGCUUAGGAUGUUGACAGCAGUAUAGACUGU
rnacentral:rRNA from 1 species